UUGAUCCUGCCGGACCUGACCGCUAUCGGAUUGAUACUAAGCCAUGCGAGUCAUUGUAGCAAUACAAGGCAUACGGCUCAGUAACGCGUAGUCAACCUAACCUAUGGACGGGAAUAACCUCGGGAAACUGAGAAUAAUGCCCGAUAGAACAUUAUGCCUGGAAUGGUUUAUGUUCCAAAUGAUUUAUCGCCGUAGGAUGGGACUGCGGCCUAUCAGUUUGUUGGUGAGGUAAUGGCCCACCAAGACUAUUACAGGUACGGGCUCUGAGAGGAGUAGCCCGGAGAUGGGUACUGAGACACGGACCCAGGCCCUAUGGGGCGCAGCAGGCGAGAAAACUUUGCAAUGUGCGAAAGCACGACAAGGUUAAUCCGAGUGGUUUCUGCUAAAGGAACCUUUUGUCAGUCCUAGAAACACUGAUGAAUAAGGGGUGGGCAAGUUCUGGUGUCAGCCGCCGCGGUAAAACCAGCACCUCAAGUGGUCAGGAUGAUUAUUGGGCCUAAAGCAUCCGUAGCCGGCUCUGUAAGUUUUCGGUUAAAUCUGUACGCUCAACGUACAGGCUGCCGGGAAUACUGCAAAGCUAGGGAGUGGGAGAGGUAGACGGUACUCGGUAGGAAGGGGUAACAUCCUUUGAUCUA
rnacentral:rRNA from 1 species